rnacentral:rRNA from 1 species
UACAGAGGGUGCGAGCGUUAAUCGGAAUUACUGGGCGUAAAGCGUGCGUAGACGGUAGCGUAAGUCGGGUGUGAAAGCCCUGGGCUCAACCUGGGAAUUGCAUUCGAGACUGCUCUGCUAGGGUGCGGAAGAGGGAAGCGGAAUUUCCGGUGUAGCGGUGAAAUGCGUAGAUAUCAGGAGGAACACCUGUGGUGUAGACAGCUUACUGGACCAUUUCUGACGCUGAGACACGAAAGCGUGGGUAGCAAACAGG